CGCGUAGGCGGCUUUGUAAGUCUGGAGUGAAAGUCCUCUUUUCAAGGGAGGAAUUGCUUUGGAAACUAUAGAGCUUGAGUGCAGGAGAGGUUAUCGGAAUUCCCGGUGUAGCGGUGAAAUGCGUAGAUAUCGGGAGGAACAUCGGUGGCGAAGGCGGGUAACUGGACUGCAACUGACGCUGAGGCGCGAAAGUGUAGGGAGCAAACA
rnacentral:rRNA from 1 species